AGAGACAGCAGUCGCCGCGGUAAUACAGAGGGUGCGAGCGUUAAUCGGAUUUACUGGGCGUAAAGCGUGCGUAGGCGUCUUCUUAAGUCGGAUGUGAAAUCCCUGAGCUUAACUUAGGAAUUGCAUUCGAUACUGGGAAGCUAGAGUAUGGGAGAGGAUGGUAGAAUUCCAGGUGUAGCGGUGAAAUGCGUAGAGAUCUGGAGGAAUACCGAUGGCGAAGGCAGCCAUCUGGCCUAAUACUGACGCUGAGGUACGAAAGCAUGGGGAGCAAACAGGAUUAGAUACCCCUGUAGUCCCUGUCUCUUAUAA
rnacentral:rRNA from 1 species